ACCUGCCUUUUUUUCCCACUAGAAAAAUCAAGGCCAUUGAUCCUACAGAGAGACAUCUCAGAGAUCUCAUGGGUUUGGUUCUAGGCAUCGCAGUGAAGCAAAUACCAUGAUACAACGAGGCACCCACGUGUUUCGGUUUCCCAGCGAACAUGAAAGUUGUUGAUUCUAUAUUGUAGUCUAUUAAGUGUGCAACACUAGUACGUCUGAAAGAACAAUGUGUGUAGCAAACAUACCUUCUUGCUAAAAAAUGCUCACCAUCAACUGACAAUACAGAGUAGCUUUAAAUCUUCAAUUUGGAAAAAACAGCAUCUUCCUUCGAGGCACAAAAAAAGUGCACUUGUGGUUCUUUCAUUCAGGUGGGACACGCCCCUAACCUGGACAUUCCAUCUCAAUGGUGCUGACAUACCGCUGUGAAUAUCAAAGGGACACGGGAGAACCAAGGAAAGUGAUUUAGAGCUGGCUGUCUAAUGAUACUGGACGGUGGCUGUUGUGAGAGGCUUAGUCGGCCAGACAAGAGGCCUGAGGUCAGAUUAGAGAUGGAAAAUGUGUGUUAACUUGGCCUUGAGGCCCCAGACAAUGAGGAAGAAGUUCCAUGGGUCAAUUUCUGGGUGUAUCUCUGUCAAAAGAUAUUUUUCAUGAAAAGGUAAAAGCGAGAUUCUUGUAGUGAUGUACAUCAACCCAUGUUGAAGAUUUUGUCUUACUCUUUAACCACGGAGGGAACCAGGCGGGUGUUAAAAAUGGUCCGAAGGAAAGGUGAACAGCACAAGUUUAUUUGGAGUAAGUUUGUGUAGGCAGAACUGAUUUUUCUACAGGAACAGUGAACUCUACUGAAAUUCCACAGGACAACUGCAGUUUGCAUACCCAUCCUUCUCCGCAGUGUAUGAAGAGAUGUAAAAUAGCUGGCUGACAGUGAGCCAGGUGAAAAGUCAGGCUGUUUGGAGGAGCGUGCUGUGGACUUGCAGCAUUGUCAUCAAAGAACAUAUUUUCCUCUCCUGUCGGGGUUCAUUCUGCUGCUCUACACUCAUCACCACCGCACAUCCCACCCCACGCCACCCCACCCCCCAAAAAGUGAAUUGAACCAGAGAAGGGAGCCCAAGACAAUCCUUCUGCUCCCUGGGAACAAACCAAACAAGUGAGUAUACAUAUUACAUUGGAAUGUGAGUUACAGCGGAGUGGGCAUUCCGUUCUCAGUUAUGCCAUUUUAUCGCUCUGCCAGCGAAACUCUUUCAAGCCCAGUGAGUUACUGAGUGAAUCCUGCCUGGUGCAGGAAGAUAGAAUCUGCCAAUCAGAAAGUAACAAAGAAGGAGAUAAAAGAAAGUGAGCGACUGAACUGAAAAGAAGGUAACAGAAGUAGAUAAAAGAGUCACAACAUCACAUCCUGCAGAAGAAGAGUAUGGACCGCAGCAACUCGCCUUCCGAUUGCAGUCUUUCUGCCUCCUCUCAGAACCGCGUCCCGCUGGCCCCUGUGGACAGUGCGGGAGGUAGACGCCCGCAGUGGAGGAAGGGACUUCACUCCCUGGCUUUGCCGCCAACAAGCCAUGAGUCUGGGCAACUGGCGGCUCGAUAAAGGCAGGUCAGACAGGUCAUCUCUGAAAGGGGGCAUGUUCUGCCCCCCUGGUGAGGAUUCAGAAUGUCUUUCCUAAGCACCAGUGAGGACUAAACAAGGCCACAGAUGUAAAACUCGGACAUGAGAAGCCCGGUAGAUGAUGUCAGGGCCUCCCGGUUACUGUUGUUACUAGUGACUCAGCGGCUUCCCACGGGGCCUGUGGCCGGGAGGAGAGAGGAUGCUCAGCCCGCCCCUCCCACGGGUGCCCUGCUGCGCUUGAGCAGGGGACGGGGAAGGGCCCUUGGGGGUCUGUUUGGGACCAUUUACUGGAGGAAGAUGUGGCCCGCCUGUCGGUGACCGAAGCCUUGUAAACACUCCUGUAGCCCGAGAGACGGGGGAACGUGUGACUCCUGGAUCGUCCGUUGUCGUCACGAUGAGAUGACAUGUCGGUUUCAUUUCGGACUCUUCUGAAGGAGACUGAGCCGAGCAGUUGGGGCCUGGAGGCUGGUGGAAAGGCAUGAUUUGUUUCCUUAGGAAUUCCUUCUGUAGUACUUGGAGCUUUGUGGAUAAAGCACCAGUCAGAACCGCCCUGUGGAAAUGGAGCGAAGAAUUGAAAUGUGAUUCCCAACCUGGAGUGGAUGCUCUUUUCACGCUCAGCUGGGUCUCUAACUCCUGAAAUAUUAAUCUGACAUAGGACGAGUACCAUCCAGGGAUGUGAAAAAUCCAGCCUGAGGCCCCAAACAGAGUGGGUCCUGCUCUCCGGGCAGAUCCAGAGCCCCUGGAGACGAAAACCUCGUAAGCCAACUGUAGACUCGGUGCUUUGCUGCAAGAGGAUUCAUUUGAGCUAUAAUAAAAAGUAGUGUGUUUAUUUAACCCCUGUAA